CGUACGGGUGAGUAACGCGUGAGUUAUCUACAUUUAGGAGGGGGACAACAAAUGGAAACGUUUGCUAAUACCCCGUAAAGCUUUUUAAGUAAAGUUAAAGAUUUUAUCGCCUAGAUAUGAGCUUGCGUCCGAUUAGCUAGUUGGUAAGGUAAAGGCUUACCAAGGCAACGAUCGGUAGUUGUUUCGAGAGAAAGGACAGCCACACUGGGACUGAGACACGGAACAGACUUCUACGGAAGGCAGCAGUGGGGAAUUUUUGGCAAUGGGUGAGAGCCUGACCAAGCAAUACCGCGUGGAGGAAGAAGGUUCUAGGAUUGUAAACUCCUUUUUUCAUUGAAGAAAAUAUGACGGUAAAUGAAGAAUAAGCAUCAGCUAAUUUCGUGCCAGCAGCUGCGGUAAUACGAGAGAUGCAAGCGUUAUCCGGAAUUAUUGGGCGUAAAGCGUUUGUAGAUGGUCUAAUAAGUUUAGUGUCAAAUCUUGAAGCUCAACUUCAAUACGGCAUUGAAAACUGUUAGUCUAGAGUGCGAUAGGGGUAAAGGGAAUUUCCAGUGUAGCGGUGAAAUGCGUAGAUAUUGGAAAGAACACCAAUGGCGAAAGCACUUUACUAGGUUGCUACUGACAUUGAGAGACGAAAGCUAGGGGAUCAAAAAGGAUUAGAUACCCUUGUAGUCCUAGCUGUAAACGAUGGAUACUAAAUGGUGCUUUUUGUACUGUUGUAGCUAACGCGUUAAGUAUCCCGCCUGGGGAGUACGCUUGCAAAAGUGAAACUCAAAGGAAUUGGCGGGGACCUGCACAAGCAGUGGAGCAUGUGGUUUAAUUCGAUG
rnacentral:rRNA from 1 species